rnacentral:rRNA from 1 species
AUUGAACGCUGGCGGCAGGCUUAACACAUGCAAGUCGAGCGGGGAAGGGUAGCUUGCUACCUGACCUAGCGGCGGACGGGUGAGUAAUGCUUAGGAAUCUGCCUAUUAGUGGGGGACAACAUUCCGAAAGGAAUGCUAAUACCGCAUACGCCCUACGGGGGAAAGCAGGGGAUCUUCGGACCUUGCGCUAAUAGAUGAGCCUAAGUCAGAUUAGCUAGUUGGUGGGGUAAAGGCCUACCAAGGCGACGAUCUGUAGCGGGUCUGAGAGGAUGAUCCGCCACACUGGGACUGAGACACGGACCAGACUCCUACGGGCGGCAGCGGUGGGGAAUAUUGGACAAUGGGCGGAAGCCUGAUCCAGCCAUGCCGCGUGUGUGAAGAAGGCCUUUUGGUUGUAAAGCACUUUAAGCGAGGAGGAGGCUACCGAGAUUAAUACUCUUGGAUAGUGGACGUUACUCGCAGAAUAAGCACCGGCUAACUCUGUGCCAGCCGCCGCGGUAAAAC